UGAUGGGACUGCCGGUGACAAACCGGAGGAAGGUGGGAUGACGUCAAGUCCUCAUGGCCCUUAUAGGUGGGGCUACACACGUCAUACAAUGGCCGGUACAAAGGGCAGCCAACCGCGAGGGGAGCCAAUCCCAUAAAGCCGGUCGUAGUCCGGAUCGCAGUCUGCAACUCGACUGCGUGAAGUCGGAAUCGCUAGUAAUCGUGGAUCAGCAUGUCACGGUGAAUACGUUCCCGGGUCUU
rnacentral:rRNA from 1 species